GAUGAACGCUGGCGGCGUGCUUAACACAUGCAAGUCGAACGAAGCACUCUAUUUGAUUUUCUUUGGAAAUGAAGAUUUUGUGACUGAGUGGCGGACGGGUGAGUAACGCGUGGGUAACCUGCCUCAUACAGGGGGAUAACAGUUGGAAACGACUGCUAAUACCGCAUAAGCGCACAGGAUCGCAUGAUCUGGUGUGAAAAACUCCGGUGGUAUGGGAUGGACCCGCGUCUGAUUAGCCAGUUGGCAGGGUAACGGCCUACCAAAGCGACGAUCAGUAGCCGACCUGAGAGGGUGACCGGCCACAUUGGGACUGAGACACGGCCCAAACUCCUACGGGAGGCAGCAGUGGGGAAUAUUGCACAAUGGGGGAAACCCUGAUGCAGCGACGCCGCGUGAGCGAAGAAGUAUUUCGGUAUGUAAAGCUCUAUCAGCAGGGAAGAAGAAUGACG
rnacentral:rRNA from 1 species